UACGAAGGGGGCUAGCGUUGCUCGGAAUCACUGGGCGUAAAGGGUGCGUAGGCGGGUCUUUUAAGUCAGGGGUGAAAUCCUGGAGCUCAACUCCAGAACUGCCUUUGAUACUGAGGAUCUUGAGUUCGGGAGGGGUGAGUGGAACUGCGAGUGUAGAGGUGAAAUUCGUAGAUAUUCGCAAGAACACCAGUGGCGAAGGCGGCUCACUGGCCCGAUACUGACGUUGAGGCACGAAAGCGUGGGGAGCAAACAGG
rnacentral:rRNA from 1 species